GGAAGAUAAAUGAAUGAAUUAUAUGUGGUGCUGAAAGAAAAAAAAAAAGAACAAUUGGCCCAGAACUUUAUAGAUUUCAAAAAUAAUCUUCAAGGUGAAAAUAAAAUAAUUUUUAGAUAGGUGAAAACUGAAAGAAUUCAUGUUCAGCAGGCCUCCAUGAUGUAAUACUCGAAGGAAGCUCUUGGAACAAAAGAAGGGAACUUCUGAUAUGCAAGAAAGAAUGAAGAGCUCAGGAAUAGACUACAUCACAAGAAGGUCAGGGUGCUUUCUGCUGAGUAUCGAUGAAAGCGGACAAGAAUAUAUACAGCAGAGCUCUUUUCGCUCUGUCUUCUUCAGUAAGCAAUGCUGGUGGAUUCUUCUGCAUCAACUUGGUUAAACUGAAACAACUUAUCCCAGAAUUUCUUCUGUAUAUAUUUCCAAGUUAGAGUCGGCCAAAAGAAAAAUUUGCACAAGAUCUGGAAGCCCUCUCCUCAAGUGACACAUCUGGUAACCCAGAAAAUACUCAGGCUCAUCAUCAGACACCUGGCUGCAGACCCACAGAGGCUAUAGCUGCAUAGAAGCAACAUUUCCCAUGGUCCUCCAAGAUGCCCCCUUUAUGGUUGACUUCAGAGACUGGACACAGUCUCAGAUUGUCCAUUGGCUACUGACUCAUAUUCUGUUCCUCCAACUCGUUGCGUGGACCUCUGCUACCCAGUUCCUUCUCAAUUGUGUAAGGUCUAAUUGCCAUCAUAAACAUCUUACCCACACUUACCAUGACUCUGAUUCCCUGGCUGAAUCAUGACUUAUAACACAGCAACCCUUUCAUCUCUGAUGCUGAAUCUGAUUCGCUCAAUGACAGCAAAGGGUGAUGUGGGCUUGCUUGAUGAAUUACAUGUAGGUGGAGGAAUUGGGUGCAGCCUUUUAGUAAAACUAACUACUGCAGGGUUAGAAGUCAAAGAGAUGACAAUGACAAACUUCAGGUGAGCUUUCAUGUAUCACAAAGCAUCCUAAACAUCUUAAGAUGUACCCUCUUAUUAAAAAAUGCUUCUCUCCUAAGAUAACUGAUAUGGGUUCCAAUUCCAAAAGAGAAGGUCCCAAUACAUUCUUCCUCAGGCAACUGAGUAGGGGAAUAUACAUAACCAAAAAGUGAGGCAACGUGUCAGGAGAUGAUAAAGGUGCAUGUGCACAUAGGCAGACAUUUGUAUUUCUCCAUUAAUAAAACAAAAACCAUGUACAUCCUUUGCAAUGGAGAAAAAUAAAGGGCAUGUCAGAAACAACUAACCCAGCCUUGGUAUUUAGAAGUUUAUGAAACCCUAGAAAAAUCGUCUUACAUUCUUAUUUCUUAUUUUAUUUACCACAAAACUAGCCAUAAGACCCAUCUUAACUUCUUCAUAAAAGAGUAGAAAAUAAUUUGAGUUUCUGCUAUGUGCUAGGCAUAUUUAUUUUUGCAACUGUCCUAUAAGGAAAAUGAUAUUAGCCUCAUUUUACAGAUGAAAUUGAGACUCAGAAAUAUUAAAUAAUGUAUUUAAGGUCAUGUAGCUUCUAAGAAGAAGAGCCAUGAUUUGAUCUCAUGUCCAUCUGAGACUCACAGUCUUUUUACUAAACCACCCUCAUUUCAGCACAAAUCUCCAUUUUAGAAAAAAAGGAAGAGCCGUCAUGGGAAUGCUUACCCUGUGAAAUUAUUUUGAAAUAAUUAUAAAGACAAUAAUUUUUAAAUACCUCCAGACCUGUGUAUGCAUGUAUGUGUUCCUGGUCAAAGUAGUCACUUUGAGAGAAUAUACAUACAUCCCAAUAGGUUCUAACAUUAAUGCAAUUUUCCAACACAUUUUUGGAACUUCCACAAUUGUGCAGAAUUGGAAUUGCAGCACAAUUGCUUUACACACACACACACACACAUAUACAUAUAUAUAUAUACAGAUAUAUCUAUAUAUACAAUAUAUACACAAAUUUUAUAUAUUGAUAUGUACGUAUGCAGAUAGUAAGUAUAAGGUACCCUCUUUCCUUUCUAUUCGCUAACAUACACAUAAAAUCCAAGGAGACUUUCAUGAAAAACCACACUCCUUGGAGAUUUUCAAGCAGAAUUCAGGCAAGCACAGGCAUUAGGUGUAGUUUAGAGGGAAGAGCUGCAUCAGAAAGAAAGUUGAACAAUAUGACCUUUAAGGUCCUUCCCAACGCUGAGAUUCCCUGUAAUAUAAUUUGUUAUGUUUGGUUUUUAUAAGAAAACUCAUUCUAUUACAUUAUGGUCACACCUCAUAAGAAGCACUAUGCAAAUGGAAGGUGGAUCUUUGCUAUGAAUAAUAAUAUUAUGAUUGUCUUUUUAGUAGAAUCUCUAAUUGCUAAAUUAAUUUCCCUCACUUCUCACCCACUGUGAGGCCAGAUAGGCCCUCUGUGUAUGAUCUUAUGGCACCCUGAACUUCCUCUGACUCAGCAGUGGUGGGACUCACAAUUAUUGUUUAAUCCCCUCCAGGCCUUAAAUUCCUUAAGGGCUAAGGCAUACAUCUUCAUCAAUGUGAAUCAGGCCAGACUCAGAGGAAGAACUUCAUAAGUAUUUUAAAUGAAUAAUAAAUAUAUGUUGAGUGUCAAAAGCAUAGUUGUGGAAUCAACCUGAAACCCUUCCCUGUACUAUCAUUCCCAUGGGAAUACUUUAUGUGGCAUUUCCUAAAGGCUGUCCAUGUGAAGACAAGGAGCGUGUCCCAUGUGAGAGGGGAUCCUGGCAUGGGGGGGGCCAGUGAACACUGCACACACUAGGGGACAGUGAGGCUGCAGGGAUGGCUCCCAAGUCAGAGGAUUUGCUCCAGCGAAGGCAAACAGGGAGAACAGGGAGCCACGGAGGAAAGGAGGCACUUCCAUUCCAAAGAAAGAGACAAUCAAGAGCACAGACACAGAAGCAGAAACAGGCAAAACUUUCUGAAUAGAAAACUGAGCAGCUCAGUGUGGCUGUGGUGUGCAGUCUGCUGUGGGGAGUGGUGGGAAUUAGAUGUUGACUUUGGUCGGGGGAAAAGGCCUUCAGUGCCAGGCAUGGUAGGCUAAACCAUGGUCCCCAACAAUAUCUAGGCUCUAAUCCCUGGAACCUGUGAAUGUUUCCUUCUAUGGCAAAUGUGACUUUGCAGAUGAGGAGAUUAUCCUGGAUUUGGUGACGGGCCCUAAAUGUAAUCACAAACAUCCUUAUAAGUGGGAGAUGGAAAGGUUUGAUAGUAGAGGAGAAGGCAAUGUGAAGCCUGGACAGAGAGGAUUAAAGAUGCUGAGCUGCUCACCUUGAAGGUGGUGGAAAGGGCAUGAGGCAAGGACCGCAGGAAUACAGGCCCAGCAGUGGGAAAAGGCACAGAAAUGCGUUCUCUCCUAGAACAUCCAGAGGGAGCACAGCCCUGCCAACACCUUGUUCUCAGCACAGUGAAACACAUUUAGGACUUUUGGCUUUCAGAACUGUGUGAGAAUAAGUGUGUGUUGCUCUCAGUCACUGAGUUUGUGGUAAUUUGUUACAGCAGUCACAGGAAACUCAUACGACCAGGAGAAGGCAUUUGAGUGUUACCCAAUAAGCAAUGAAGAGUCAUGACAAUCCAGGCAGAAAUGGAUUGGGGGAAGGCGAAUGGAAGGGGUGUGGUGAGGGGGAAAGUGUGGAACAGUGGCUUGACUUUAGAAGUGGAUAAAAUCUCCCUGGAUAUUUUGUUAGCAAAGCAUUUUGGGAUCCUUUGGGAUGAAAGGUGCUGCAGAAAAUGUAAUAACGCUAAUAAAUAUUCUAUGAUUUCCCUGGAA
rnacentral:lncRNA from 10 species